UGGCUCAGUGGUUAAGAGCACUGGAUGCUCUUCCAGAGGUCCUGGGUUCAAUUCCCAA
rnacentral:tRNA from 1 species